GACGAACGCUGGCGGCGUGCCUAAUACAUGCAAGUAGAACGCUGAAGAGAGGAGCUUGCUCUUCUUGGGUGAGUUGCGAACGGGUGAGUAACGCGUAGGUAACCUGCCUUGUAGCGGGGGAUAACUAUUGGAAACGAUAGCUAAUACCGCAUAACAAUAGGUGACACAUGUCAUUUAUUUGAAAGGGGCAAUUGCUCCACUACAAGAUGGACCUGCGUUGUAUUAGCUAGUAGGUGAGGUAACGGCUCACCUAGGCGACGAUACAUAGCCGACCUGAGAGGGUGAUCGGCCACACUGGGACUGAGACACGGCCCAGACUCCUACGGGAGGCAGCAGUAGGGAAUCUUCGGCAAUGGGGGCAACCCUGACCGAGCAACGCCGCGUGAGUGAAGAAGGUUUUCGGAUCGUAAAGCUCUGUUGUAAGUCAAGAACGGGUGUGAGAGUGGAAAGUUCACACUGUGACGGUAGCUUACCAGAAAGGGACGGCUAACUACGUGCCAGCAGCCGCGGUAAUACGUAGGUCCCGAGCGUUGUCCGGAUUUAUUGGGCGUAAAGCGAGCGCAGGCGGUUUGAUAAGUCUGAAGUUAAAGGCUGUGGCUCAACCAUAGUUCGCUUUGGAAACUGUCAAACUUGAGUGCAGAAGGGGAGAGUGGAAUUCCAUGUGUAGCGGUGAAAUGCGUAGAUAUAUGGAGGAACACCGGUGGCGAAAGCGGCUCUCUGGUCUGUAACUGACGCUGAGGCUCGAAAGCGUGGGGAGCGAACAGGAUUAGAUACCCUGGUAGCCCACGCCGUAAACGAUGAGUGCUAGGUGUUGGAUCCUUUCCGGGAUUCAGUGCCGCAGCUAACGCAUUAAGCACUCCGCCUGGGGAGUACGACCGCAAGGCUGAAACUCAAAGGAAUUGACGGGGGCCCGCACAAGCGGUGGAGCAUGUGGUUUAAUUCGAAGCAACGCGAAGAACCUUACCAGGUCUUGACAUCCCGAUGCUAUUUCUAGAGAUAGAAAGUUACUUCGGUACAUCGGUGACAGGUGGUGCAUGGUUGUCGUCAGCUCGUGUCGUGAGAUGUUGGGUUAAGUCCCGCAACGAGCGCAACCCCUAUUGUUAGUUGCCAUCAUUCAGUUGGGCACUCUAGCGAGACUGCCGGUAAUAAACCGGAGGAAGGUGGGGAUGACGUCAAAUCAUCAUGCCCCUUAUGACCUGGGCUACACACGUGCUACAAUGGUUGGUACAACGAGUUGCGAGUCGGUGACGGCAAGCUAAUCUCUUAAAGCCAAUCUCAGUUCGGAUUGUAGGCUGCAACUCGCCUACAUGAAGUCGGAAUCGCUAGUAAUCGCGGAUCAGCACGCCGCGGUGAAUACGUUCCCGGGCCU
rnacentral:rRNA from 1 species